UUGAAAGGGAAACGAUUGAAGUCAGUCGUACCAGCGGGAAAUCAACCUUUCGGGUGGGGGUUUUGGAGUUUGAAGAGUGUUAAAACCUUUGAGAUUUCAAAAUGUUCGCUCUUUUGGUGUACUUUCUCGUAGGUAGGUUAACAUCGAUUUUGAUCAUCAUAAAAGGAUUGGAGGAAUGUAGCUUCGAUCUCGUAUUGAAGUGUUAUAGCCUUUGGUAAAUGUGAUGAUUAGGAUCGAGGAUUGCAACGAAUACCCUUUUGGGCUAUCCGCCUGAUCUCUGAUACGUGACCUUGGUAUUGAAAGCGUGCUUAUGAUAUUGAGGUAUUACGGUCAAAAGGUUAGAACGGAUUACAUUCGUUAAGGAUGUUGACGUA
rnacentral:rRNA from 1 species